rnacentral:rRNA from 1 species
UGGGGAAUAUUGGACAAUGGGCGAAAGCCUGAUCCAGCCAUGCCGCGUGUGUGAAGAAGGUCUUCGGAUUGUAAAGCACUUUAAGUUGGGAGGAAGGGCAGUAAGCGAAUACCUUGCUGUUUUGACGUUACCGACAGAAUAAGCACCGGCUAACUCUGUGCCAGCAGCCGCGGUAAUACAGAGGGUGCAAGCGUUAAUCGGAAUUACUGGGCGUAAAGCGCGCGUAGGUGGUUCGUUAAGUUGAAUGUGAAAGCCCCGGGCUCAACCUGGGAACUGCGGCCAAAACGGGCGAGCUAGAGUAGGGCAGAGGGUGGGGGAAUUUCCUGUGUAGCGGUGAAAUGCGUAGAUAUAGGAAGGAACACCAGUGGCGAAGGCGACCACCUGGGCUCAUACUGACACUGAGGUGCGAAAGCGUGGGGAGCAAACAGG